UCUGUGCCGUUGAAAUUAUAUUUGCGAUAUUUUAUCUGUUCUAUUUACCAAAAAAAUAUAUCAUAUCGGAAAUUACUGGUGAUGACGAUCAGCCCUUUCAUGAAAGAACUGAGAACGAUUCCUUCCUUUCAGAGAAUGUAUCAAAAACUACAAACUCCCCAGAUGGGACACGAGAAACCAUGAGCCGAAUCCUCAAGUCGGGGGCGUCUCUGGCAACGUCGCGCGGCGUGGCUCCCGGCGAAGUGGGUAAUUUGGCCGACACGCUAAUGUCCUCCAAUGACUCUAUAACGCCCUCAUAACACGGCACGGACACGACUCGUCUAGCAUCCACCUCACAGAAACGUCUACUUUUCGCUCUAAUGACACCCCUAAUUCUACACCCCCCCUUCCCACCCCACAUCCGAUCAGUGUGAUCCUAUCUCCCGGCCACCUCCAAAAUUCGACCGUCCUCGACAAAGCCGCAGCUUUUUGCUCGGCUUUCGGGUGCCUUUUGCUCUUGGGAACAUAUGUUUGUAACCAUACGAUGAACACGUGGAGCAGGCCAUCAAGGUUCACAUUAAUGAAGGUAAAUGAUGGUGAUGACAUAUUAAAUUGCAAAAACGCUUAACUUGGUUUGCGAUGCUGCAGACUUAUUGUCACAACACGGAAAAAAUUAAAUUGCUGACUUAACAAUCCAAUUGCUAAAACAAGUGACUGAAAUGUUUCAAUGCAUCGCAACAAAAAAUUGCUGCUUUAACCACUAUUAUAAGCUAAUUUAACUAUGAUGGUGUUUAUAGUAGCAUUUUUGUGUUGCAAAAUCUACAUUGAAACAUUGCAGUCACUUUUUUGUAGCAAUUGAAUUGUUAAAUCAGCAAUUUAAUUUUUUUCUGUGAAUGGACCACUCAAAAGAAAAAUAAUUUAAGCACCACGAUAAAUGGUUUUGCCGUCGUAAUUUUAGGUCAAGGACGAUGGAAGAAAUCGAAUUUCCAAAUUCAACCCAUCAGUGAGUAAACUGCGUUUUUGUGUUCUUCAAUUUUCACAUACCAUUCUCAAAAAAACAGAGUACUACUUCCACUAAUGUUGAUACACUUUUUAGUAAUGUAAGAAUCGAUGAUCAUUUGAUCUUAACUUUUGAGUACUGUAACUUUAGAAACUAUUCUGGAGGAUAUAUUUGAUAGAUAAGGGAGGCAAAUUACAGAAUUCUCAAUAAAAACCUUUGAAUGAA